GCCUGGUUGGUUCAGUUGGUAGAGCAUGUGAUUUUUGAUCUCAGGGUUAAACCUGAGUUCAAACCUCACAUUGGGUG